rnacentral:rRNA from 1 species
GACGAACGCUGGCGGCGUGCUUAACACAUGCAAGUCGAACGGAAAGGCCCCCUUGUGGGGUACUCGAGUGGCGAACGGGUGAGUAACACGUGAGUAACCUACCCUUGACUUUGGGAUAACUUCAGGAAACUGGGGCUAAUACCGGAUAGGAGCUCCUGCUGCAUGGUGGGGGUUGGAAAGUUUUGGCGGUUGGGGAUGGACUCGCGGCUUAUCAGCUUGUUGGUGGGGUAGUGGCUCACCAAGGCUUUGACGGGUAGCCGGCCUGAGAGGGUGACCGGCCACAUUGGGACUGAGAUACGGCCCAGACUCCUACGGGAGGCAGCAGUGGGGAAUAUUGCACAGUGGGCGGAAGCCUGAUGCGGCAACGCCGCGUGCGGGAUGACGGCCUUCGGGUUGUAAACCGCUUUCGCCUGUGACGAAGCGUGAGUGACGGUAAUGGGUAAAGAAGCACCGGCUAACUACGUG